GAUAAAAUAAGCUAAUAUAAGCUGCCGGGCUCAUACCCCGAGAAUGGAUAAAUCCUUUUGUCA
rnacentral:tRNA from 1 species